rnacentral:lncRNA from 1 species
UUUUAUGUUAGAGCCCAAGAGGCUGACUGAGAGUUGGGAAGUUGGUCCCUGCAGCCUUCCUAUCACAGGCAGUGUCUAUGUAGCUCUCUGUCCUUGUCAAUCCAUAUGGGAGAGGAGGCAAGGAGUCCCCUGGCAGUAUCUCCUCACGUUCCUCAUACAUUGCAGACUUCGUUACUAUCCGGAAUCUCUACCUAGCUUGUGUGUUUUGCUAGACAAUGAUCCGAAGACUGUUUUGCAGCUGAGGUUGCUUCUCUUUACCUUAUGGAAAGAGAAGUCUUUAUGCUAUGGAAAAAGAAGUCUUUACGUUAUGGAAAGUAACCAUCCUGUUUUAGGCAGACAGAGGUUCACAUACGAAAGCAGCAAAGCUUUAUUGUUAACCUCAGGAAACCUGUUUGACAUACCACAGCAUAAUGCCAAGGGUGUUGUCUCUGUAAAACCUUUAUCUCAUAUCUUAACCCCUUCUGUACCUUUCUCAUCUUCAGAUUGUUGCCUGUCUUGAAUCUUUGUCCAAUAAAGCAGAGGCGUAUUUGUAUUC